UCUCUCUCUCUCUCUCUCUCUCCUUCAUUCCCUCCCUCCCUUUCUCUCCAUUUCUCUGUCUCUACUAUCACCUCAACUCCCCUCUCCAUGCCCUAAAUAAACUCUAUUCUAAACUUAAAAUAAAUAAAUAAACAAAUAAAGAAGCCUUAUAAGAAGUAGAAAAGUGACCCUUUCCUCACAGGUGUAUUGAAUCUGUGGCUCUUACACUCUUUCCACACCCUCUUCCUUGAUGUUCCCUGAGCCUUAGGCCUAGGCUAAUAUUGAGUUAUGUCGACUAGAACUGAACCCACCACUGUCAGUUCUUUGCAUGUUGACAAGCUUCCCCUCUCUCCUCUACUCCAAGUUCCUCCUGCCCCUUGCCUUACUUCCAUUCACUCCUCCCGUUCACUUCAGAAAAAGGCAAACCUCCCAUAGGUAUCAAACAUCCAUAGCAUAUUAAAUUACAAUAAAACCAGGAGGGCCAGGAACCAGAGGCUGUAUUACCCAAAGACCUAGGAUAGAAGCAAACAUUACUAGAGAGAGAGAGAGAGAGAGAGAGAGAGAGAAUUGUUGAUAACCUGCUAUACUCAUAGAUUGGUACCUAGCCCAGUUGUCAUCAGAGAGACUUCACCCAGCAACUGUUGGAAACAGAUGUAGAGAUCCACAGUCAAACAUUAGGCAGAACUUGGGGAACCCUGCAGAAGUUGGAAAGGAAGGAAUGUAGUAGCCAGAAGGGUCCAGGGCACUACAAGAAAACCCACAGUGAUCAACUAACCUGGGCUCAUAGGGGCUUACAGAGACUCAACCACCACUAGGGAGAUCACGUGGAACUGACCUAGACCCUCUACACAUAUGUUAAGCUUCAGUAGAAGACUAACAUAGCUAACAAUAGAAGAGGCUAUCUCUGACUCUUUUGCCUACCUUUGGGACUCAUUCCUCCUCCAGGAUUGUCUUAUCUCACCUUAAUAAGAGAGAAGGUGCCUAGUCUUACAUUAUUUUCUUAAUAAUGCAAAGAACAAAACAGUCCAUAAAUGCCAUACCCUAAUAUUUGUCCAGGCUUUAAAAAAUAAAGCAAUUUCAAUGAUUAAUUAUGAAUGAGUAUACUGUUUAUACAUUGUUUUCCUCGUGUUCUGAUUCUUUGGCUCAUUUGAGUAAGGACCAUGUUCUGAGAGUUUACAUCAUUUUAAUACUGCAUAUAGUGAAACUUUUAAGUUAAGUACAUGAAGUUAGGACCUUUGAGACAUGAUUAAGAUAUUUGAACAGAGCCCUCAUCUAUAGGAUUAAUGCCAACAUAAAAGAGAAGCAGGCAUAUGCCUGACCCUUCUCUAUGUAAGGAUACAUGUAUAUAGCACCCUGUGAACUGAGAGGAUAGCCCUCCUAAGACAUCAAACCUUCCUGUGCUUUACCGUGGACUUGGCACCUUCCAAAUGAAUGU
ensembl:lincRNA Gm28322 predicted gene 28322